rnacentral:rRNA from 1 species
AUACGGAGGGUGCAAGCGUUAUUCGGAAUCACUGGGCGUAAAGGACGCGUAGGCGGGUUGGCAAGUCAGAUGGGAAAUCCUACAGCUUAACUGUAGAACUGCAUUUGAAACUGCUAACCUAGAGUAUGGGAGGGGGAGAUGGAAUUAGUGGUGUAGGGGUAAAAUACGUAGAUAUCACUAGGAAUACCGAAAGCGAAGGCGAUCUCCUGGAACAUAACUGACGCUAAGGCGUGAAAGCGUGGGGAGCAAACAGGAUUAGAAACCCCAGUAGUCC